rnacentral:rRNA from 1 species
GAUGAACGCUAGCUACAGGCUUAACACAUGCCAGUCGAGGGGGAACGCUGAGAGAGCUUGCUCUCUUAGUCGUCGACCGGCGCGCGGGUGAGUAACGCGUAUCCAACCUGCCUCUGACCAAGGGAUAACCCGUCGAAAGUCGGACUAAUACCUUAUGCAGUCGUCGGAAGUCAUCUGAUGACGACGAAAGAUUUCAUCGGUGAGAGAUGGGGAUGCGUCUGAUUAGCUUGUUGGCGGGGUAACGGCCCACCAAGGCGACGAUCAGUAGGGGUUCUGAGAGGAAGGUCCCCCACAUUGGAACUGAGACACGGUCCAAACUCCUACGGGAGGCAGCAGUGAGGAAUAUUGGUCAAUGGGCGUAAGCCUGAACCAGCCAAGUAGCGUGCAGGAUGACGGCCCUAUGGGUUGUAAACUGCUUUUAUGCGGGGAUAAAGUGAGGGACGUGUCCUUCAUUGCAGGUACCGCAUGAAUAAGGACCGGCUAAUUCCGUG